rnacentral:misc_RNA from 1 species
UCUUAUCAGUUGUUAUACCUCCUUUUCUUUCUGAAUUGUUGUAGGAUCAGAUCCCCUUGGAGGAUCUUUUGCAAAUACAGAUAAUCUGUUUUUCAUUUUGCACUUAGGGUGGUCAGAGUGUUGACUUCUAUCCUAAUCACUAAUAUCAUAUGGCAUGGGAAUAUAAUUGGACUAACUUAAGCAUGCAUGAAUAAUAAGUUCUAGCAUUUUAAUAGUUCUAUCCAAGUCCUUCACAUAAUCUUGCAUUGCACUAUCAUAAAAUUAGGCUUUCUUGAUCAUAUGAACACUUAUUAUGAUUACAAUAAAAAGUCAUUAUAAAUGAACUUUUGGUCUCAUCAGUGCCCAAUGUGGGCCCCACAGCAUGUUUGGUUGACAAGGAGAACUAUGUUUAUUCAGUAAAUGCAGCACAAAAUGG